rnacentral:rRNA from 1 species
GAUGAACGCUGGCGGCGUGCCUAAUACAUGCAAGUCGAGCGAACGGACGAGAAGCUUGCUUCUCUGAUGUUAGCGGCGGACGGGUGAGUAACACGUGGAUAACCUACCUAUAAGACUGGGAUAACUUCGGGAAACCGGAGCUAAUACCGGAUAAUAUUUUGAACCGCAUGGUUCAAAAGUGAAAGACGGUCUUGCUGUCACUUAUAGAUGGAUCCGCGCUGCAUUAGCUAGUUGGUAAGGUAACGGCUUACCAAGGCAACGAUGCAUAGCCGACCUGAGAGGGUGAUCGGCCACACUGGAACUGAGACACGGUCCAGACUCCUACGGGAGGCAGCAGUAGGGAAUCUUCCGCAAUGGGCGAAAGCCUGACGGAGCAACGCCGCGUGAGUGAUGAAGGUCUUCGGAUCGUAAAACUCUGUUAUUAGGGAAGAACAUAUGUGUAAGUAACUGUGCACAUCUUGACGGUACCUAAUCAGAAAGCCACGGCUAACUACGUGCCAGCAGCCGCGGUAAUACGUAGGUGGCAAGCGUUAUCCGGAAUUAUUGGGCGUAAAGCGCGCGUAGGCGGUUUUUUAAGUCUGAUGUGAAAGCCCACGGCUCAACCGUGGAGGGUCAUUGGAAACUGGAAAACUUGAGUGCAGAAGAGGAAAGUGGAAUUCCAUGUGUAGCGGUGAAAUGCGCAGAGAUAUGGAGGAACACCAGUGGCGAAGGCGACUUUCUGGUCUGUAACUGACGCUGAUGUGCGAAAGCGUGGGGAUCAAACAGGAUUAGAUACCCUGGUAGUCCACGCCGUAAACGAUGAGUGCUAAGUGUUAGGGGGUUUCCGCCCCUUAGUGCUGCAGCUAACGCAUUAAGCACUCCGCCUGGGGAGUACGACCGCAAGGUUGAAACUCAAAGGAAUUGACGGGGACCCGCACAAGCGGUGGAGCAUGUGGUUUAAUUCGAAGCAACGCGAAGAACCUUACCAAAUCUUGACAUCCUUUGACAACUCUAGAGAUAGAGCUUUCCCCUUCGGGGGACAAAGUGACAGGUGGUGCAUGGUUGUCGUCAGCUCGUGUCGUGAGAUGUUGGGUUAAGUCCCGCAACGAGCGCAACCCUUAAGCUUAGUUGCCAUCAUUAAGUUGGGCACUCUAAGUUGACUGCCGGUGACAAACCGGAGGAAGGUGGGGAUGACGUCAAAUCAUCAUGCCCCUUAUGAUUUGGGCUACACACGUGCUACAAUGGACAAUACAAAGGGCAGCGAAACCGUGAGGUCAAGCAAAUCCCAUAAAGUUGUUCUCAGUUCGGAUUGUAGUCUGCAGCUCGACUACAUGAAGCUGGAAUCGCUAGUAAUCGUAGAUCAGCAUGCUACGGUGAAUACGUUCCCGGGUCU